AAGGAGUCUAACAUGUGUGCGAGUGGUUGGGUGUUGAAGCCCAGGUGCAGAAUGAAAGUGAAGAAGGUGGGAUCGCCUGCAGUGAUGCAGGGGAGCACCAUUGGCUUGAGCCUCGGUGUCUACUGGGGCUCUACGCAGGAGCAUACAUGCUGGGACCCGAAAGAUGGUGAACUAUGCCUGAGUAGGGUGAAGCCAGAGGAAACUCUGGUGGAGGCCCGUAGUGGUUCUAACGUGCAAAUUGAUCACGGGACUUGGGCAUAGGGGCGAAAGACUAAUCGAACCAUCUAGUAGCUGGUUCCCUC
rnacentral:sRNA from 1 species